GAUGAACGCUGGCGGCGUGCCUAAUACAUGCAAGUCGAACGAAACUUCUUUAUCACCGAGUGCUUGCACUCACCGAUAAAGAGUUGAGUGGCGAACGGGUGAGUAACACGUGGGCAACCUGCCCAAAAGAGGGGGAUAACACUUGGAAACAGGUGCUAAUACCGCAUAACCAUAGUUACCGCAUGGUAACUAUGUAAAAGGUGGCUAUACUACCGCUUUUGGAUGGGCCCGCGGCGCAUUAGCUAGUUGGUAGGGUAAAGGCUUACCAAGGCAAUGAUGCGUAGCCGAAUUGAGAGGUUGAACGGCCACAUUGGGACUGAGACACGGCCCAAACUCCUACGGGAGGCAGCAGUAGGGAAUCUUCCACAAUGGGCGAAAGCCUGAUGGAGCAACGCCGCGUGGGUGAAGAAGGUCUUCGGAUCGUAAAACCCUGUUGUUAGAGAAGAAAGUGCGUGAGAGUAACUGUUCACGUUUCGACGGUAUCUAACCAGAAAGCCACUGCUAACUACGUG
rnacentral:rRNA from 1 species